GUCGGAUAAAGGCUCUGGGAAUGUGGCUCCUCUCGGGGAAGUGUUAUAGCCCAGGGUGCAAUGCGGCCAGCUUGGACUGAGGUCCGCGCUUCUGCUAGGAUGCUGGCGUAAUGGCUGUAAGCGGCCCGUCUUGAAACACGGACCAAGGAGUCUAACAUCUAUGCGAGUGUUUGGGUGUCAAGCCCGAGCGCGCAAUGAAAGUGAACGGAGGUGGGAACCCUUUGGGGUGCACCAUCGACCGAUCCUGAUGUCUUCGGAUGGAUUUGAGUAAGAGCAUAGCUGUUGGGACCCGAAAGAUGGUGAACUAUGCCUGAAUAGGGUGAAGCCAGAGGAAACUCUGGUGGAGGCUCGCAGCGGUUCUGACGUGCAAAUCGAUCGUCAAAUUUGGGCAUAGGGGCGAAAGACUAAUCGAACUAUCUAGUAGCUGGUUCCUGCCGAAGUUUCCCUCAGGAUAGCAGUAACGUCUUCAGUUUUAUGAGGUAGAGCGAAUGAUUAGAGGCCUGGGGGUUGAAACAACCUUCACCUAUUCUCAAACUUCGAAUAUGUAAGAAGUCCUUGUUACUUAAUUGAACGUGGACAUUUGAAUGUAUCGUUACUAGUGGGCCAUUUUUGGUAAGCAGAACUGGCGAUGCGGGAUGAACCGAACGCGGGGUUAAGGUGCCAGAAUGCACGCUCAUCAGACACCACAAAAGG
rnacentral:rRNA from 1 species